AAUAGCUCCUGGAAACGGGUGGUAAUGCCGAAUGUGCCCUUCGGGGGAAAGAUUUAUCGCCUUUAGAGCGGCCCGCGUCUGAUUAGCUAGUUGGUGGGGUAAUGGCCCACCAAGGCUACGAUCAGUAGCUGGUCUGAGAGGAUGACCAGCCACAUUGGGACUGAGACACGGCCCAAACUCCUACGGGAGGCAGCAGUGGGGAAUCUUGCGCAAUGGGCGAAAGCCUGACGCAGCCAUGCCGCGUGUAUGAUGAAGGUCUUAGGAUUGUAAAAUACUUUCACCGGUGAAGAUAAUGACUGUAGCCGGAGAAGAAGCCCCGGCUAACUUCGUGCCAGCAGCCGCGGUAAUACGAAGGGGGCUAGCGUUGCUCGGAAUUACUGGGCGUAAAGGGAGCGUAGGCGGACAUUUAAGUCAGAGGUGAAAUCCCGGAGCUUAACUUCGGAACUGCCUUUGAUACUGGGUGUCUUGAGUGUGAGAGAGGUAUGUGGAACUCCGAGUGUAGAGGUGAAAUUCGUAGAUAUUCGGAAGAACACCAGUGGCGAAGGCGACAUACUGGCUCAUUACUGACGCUGAGGCUCGAAAGCGUGGGGAGCAAACAGGAUUAGAUACCCUGGUAGUCCACGCCGUAAACGAUGAUUGC
rnacentral:rRNA from 1 species